GACGAACGCUGGCGGCGUGCUUAACACAUGCUAGUCGAACGGUAAGGCCCUUCGGGGUACACGAGUGGCGAACGGGUGAGUAACACGUGGGUGAUCUGCCCUGCACUUCGGGAUAAGCCUGGGAAACUGGGUCUAAUACCGGAUAGGACUCCGGACUGCAUGGUCUGGGGUGGAAAGCUUUUGCGGUGUGGGAUGGGCCCGCGGCCUACCAGCUUGUUGGUGGAGUGGUGGCCGACCAAGGCGACGACUGGUAGCCGGCCUGAGAGGGUGACCGGCCACACAGGUACUCAGAUAAGGCCCAGAUCCCUACGGGAGGCAGCAGUGGAGAUUAUUGCACAAUGGGAGCAAGCCUGAUGCAGCGACGCCGCGUGAGGGAUGACGGCCUUCGGGUUGUAAACCUCUUUCAGCAUCGACGAAGCGAAAGUGACGGUAGGUGCAGAAGAAGAACCGGCCAACUACGUGCCAGCCGCCGCAGUAA
rnacentral:rRNA from 1 species